GGUGAUUUAGCUUAAUGGUUCUACUACCUGCCUCAUAAGCACAAGGUCCUGAGUUCAAUCCUCAGCACCACCA
rnacentral:tRNA from 1 species